AUGUUUUCUCAGCCAGCUAUCACACCUUUCAAAGUCUCAGGUGCUCUUAUGAAUAAAAUGAAGAUUGUCAGAUCGGGUGAUGUCCUCUGCACACCCACACUCUUACUCACAUGGUUGUCUAUUUGUGACACACGUGCUUUGAUUUACAGAUACGUAGAGGAGGAGUGGGGCAGUGAGUGGCAAUACCUCAUGCUGUUGCUGAAAUUCUCCUCUGGGCUUGACCUGCUCUCUGGUCUUGAACAACAUCUCUCUCUUCGAGCACACAGUGCUAAGGAGGACUAGGGCUCUGUAAGCUAGAAGUGACCUAAGGAGCCAAUGCACCUACGACCUGGAUGAGAAUCUGAUCUCAGAAGACUUCUGUGCUAAGGUGAUGGCUACCGCACCAGCUGUGGUCAGGAGGAAGCGGUAUCAGCCACUUGACCGAAUUCAGUAAGAAGAGACCCAUGCAGUGCUUCCUUGAAUUUCUGCAGGCCAGGUACACAAAACUUUCUGGGAUCUGAGGUCCACCGUUUUUAACAUACAGGGACUGACAUGGCAGCCUGUGGAGGGGCAAAGGCACUGCCCUGGUUGUCUGUGGCCCUGCAGCAGGGCCUGGCUUGAUUCCUAAGCAGCUGAGUGACUCAGGUGAUUUCUUCCAUCUGAAAACACCUCGGGCCGGUGCCCCAGCUCACUAGGCUAAUCAUCCGCCUAGCGGCGCUGGCACACCGGGUUUUAGUCCUGUUGGGGCACCGGAUUCUGUCCCGGUUGCCCCUCUUCCAGGCCAGCUCUCUGCUGUGGCCCGGGAGUGCAGUGGAGGAUGGCCCAAGUGCUUGGGUCCUGCACCCCAUGGGAGACCAGGAGAAGCACCUAGCUCCUGGCUCCUGCCUUCAGAUAGGCGCGGUGCACCGGCCGUGGUGGCCAUUGGAGGGUGAACCAACGGCAAAAGGAAGACCUUUCUCUCUGUCUCUCUCUCUCACUGUCCUCUCUGCCUGUGGAAAAAAAAAAAAAAAAAACACCCCAUGGGCCUCACCUUUGUAAAUAGCAGAUUCACAGAGCCUCCCAGGCCAGUGAGGCAGGUGCCUUGCAAGGACGCAGGUGGUGUAGGCUGUGCCCAUGCGUCUGUGUUCACAUCACAGGCCCACCUCGGCUUGCCCCUCAGUCUACACUCUAUGCUUUAGACUGAUUGGCUUCUUUGGUUGUCUUGGAGAUGGUCUCAUUCUGGAGAGAGCCCUGGCCCCCUCUAGAAGAAACCUGCUCUCCAAAUGCAGACCUGUGCUUGGGCUGACUCUCAAAGUUGCAGCUG
rnacentral:lncRNA from 1 species